CGCCAUGACCAAAUCCCCUGCAAGGCGUCCCAUCUCGUGAGAUCUCGGAAGCGAAGCAAGGUUGCGUCUGGAUUUGUCUUGUACGGGUGACCACUAGGCACAACAGGUUAACACAGGGC
rnacentral:rRNA from 1 species